rnacentral:rRNA from 1 species
AUAGGGGACUCGAGUGCCAGGUUACAAAUCUGGCUGUCGUGAUGCCUAAAAAGCAUUGCAUAGCAAGGGCCGGGCAAGACCGGUGCCAGCCGCCGCGGUAACACCGGCGGCUCGAGUGGUAACCGUUAUUAUUGGGUCUAAAGGGUCUGUAGCCGGCCGGGUAAGUCUCUUGGGAAAUCUGGCAGCUUAACUGUCAGGCUUUCAGGAGAUACUGUCUGGCUCGAGGCCGGGAGAGGUGAGAGGUACUUCAGGGGUAGGGGUGAAAUCUUGUAAUCCUUGAAGGACCACCAGUGGCGAAGGCGUCUCACCAGAACGGACCUGACGGCAAGGGACGAAAGCUAGGGGCACGAACCGGAUUAGAUACCCGGGUAGUCCUAGCCGUAAACGAUACUCGCUAGGUGUCGGCAACGGUGCGACCGUUGUCGGUGCCGUAGGGAAGCCGUGAAGCGAGCCACCUGGGAAGUACGGCCGCAAGGCUGAAACUUAAAGGAAUUGGCGGGGGAGCACCACAACGGGUGGAGCUUGCGGUUUAAUUGGAUUCAACGCCGGAAAUCUUACCGGGACCGACAGCAAUAUGAAGGCCAGGCUGAAGACUUUGCCGGAUUAGCUGAGAGGUGGUGCAUGGCCGUCGUCAGUUCGUACUGUGAAGCAUCCUGUUAAGUCAGGCAACGAGCGAGACCCACGCCCACAGUUGCCAGCGUACUCUCCGGAGUGACGGGUACACUGUGGGGACCGCCGCUGCUAAAGCGGAAGAAGGAAUGGGCAACGGUAGGUCAGUAUGCC